CCUACGGGUGGCAGCAGUGGGGAAUAUUGGACAAUGGGCGAAAGCCUGAUCCAGCCAUGCCGCGUGUGUGAAGAAGGCCUUCGGGUUGUAAAGCACUUUCAGUGGGGAAGAAAGCCUUGGGGCUAAUACCCUCGAGGAAGGACAUCACCCACAGAAGAAGCACCGGCUAACUCCGUGCCAGCAGCCGCGGUAAUACGGAGGGGUGCGAGCGUUAAUCGGAAUUACUGGGCGUAAAGCGCGCGUAGGCGGUCUGAUAAGCCGGUUGUGAAAGCCCCGGGCUCAACCUGGGAACGGCAUCCGGAACUGUCAGGCUAGAGUGCAGGAGAGGAAGGUAGAAUUCCCGGUGUAGCGGUGAAAUGCGUAGAGAUCGGGAGGAAUACCAGUGGCGAAGGCGGCCUUCUGGACUGACACUGACGCUGAGGUGCGAAAGCGUGGGUAGCAAACAGGAUUAGAACCCGAGUAGUC
rnacentral:rRNA from 1 species